rnacentral:rRNA from 1 species
UACGUAAGGUGCAAGCGUUGUCCGGAAUUAUUGGGUGUAAAGAGCUCGUAGGCGGUUUUGUUGCGUCGGCUGUGAAAUCCCGAGGCUCAACCUCGGGUCUGCAGUCGAUACGAGCAAACUAGAGUGUUGCAGGGGAGACUGGAAUUCCUGGUGUAGCGGUGAAAUGCGCAGAUAUCAGGAGGAACACCGGUGGCGAAGGCGGG